GGUCUCGCCCCUCUUCACAUCGGUGCCUGGGUUCCUGUGGCUGGAGGUGACGAGGAUCAGGGAGGGCAGCGUGGUGCUGGAGUACGACGCACUGUUCGCGGCAGAGCAGGUGCCGGUGCUGGGGCUGUUCGCGCUCCUCAAUGCUGCGCUGGGCUCUGGUCCUGCCCGGCGGGGGCUGUCAGUGGGUGAUGCCCCCGUCCUGCACAACGCAGCUCUGGAAUGGCCGCUGGACCCCUGCGCUGAGCUCUUCACCUGCC
rnacentral:lncRNA from 1 species